rnacentral:rRNA from 1 species
GUCAUAUGCUUGUCUCAAAGAUUAAGCCAUGCAAGUGUAAGUGCACGUCCUGCGUAAGACCGAACCGCGGAUGGCUCAUUAAAUCAGAAAUCAUUUGUCAACCGACAGUUUUCCUACUCGGAUAACUGUAGUAAUUCUAGAGCUAACACGUGCCAAUUAUGUCUUGUUCGUAAGAAUGGGAUGGCUUUGUUAGACUAAAACCAGCCGUGUCCUCGGACAUGUUUGGUUUUGGUGACUCUGGAUAAAGUAUUUAUCGCAUGACCUUCGUGUUGGCGAUACGGUUGGCAGGUGUCUGCCCUAUCAACUAUUGACGGUAGGAUAUUACCCUACCGUGGUUGUGACGGGUAACGGGGAAUCAGCGUUCGGUUCCGGAGAGGGGGCCUGAGAAAUGGCCACCACAUCCAAGGAAGGCAGCAGGCGCGCAACUUAUCCACUCCUGGCUUAUGGAGAUAGUGACAAAAAAUAACCAAUACCACCUUCACGGGUGUGUAUAUGGGAAUGAGAGAAGUUUAAUAACACUUCUCAAGUAUCAACUGGAGGGCAAGCCUGGUGCCAGCAGCCGCGGUAAUUCCAGCUCCAGUAGCGUAUAUUAAAGUUGUUGCAGUUAAAAAGCUCGUGGUUGAUUAUAAGACAAUGCUGAUUAGGUUUGCUUUUUGCUUACUUAAUCAGCUUGUCUUUAUUUGUUGGACCCACUUAGAGUGCACUUUAUUGGGUGCUUUAGGUGACCAACGAGUUUACUUUGAAAAAAUUAGAGUGCUCAAAGCAGGCUUUAGCCUGAAUUCUGUUGCAUGGAAUAAUGAAAUAGGACUUCGGUACUAUUUUGUUGGUUUUUUGUACAGAAGUAAUGAUUAAAAGGGACAGACGGGGGCAUUCGUAUUUCCGGGGGAGGGGUGAAAUCCGUAGAUCCUGGAAAGACGACCAACUGCGAAAGCAUAUGCCAAGAAUGUUUUCAUUAAUCAAGAACGAAAGUCAGAGGUUCGAAAGCGAUUAGAUACCGCUCUAGUUCUGACCAUAAACUAUGCCAGCUAUCCAUUUGGGGGGCAUCUUGUAUGUUCCUUCAAAGCGGAACCAGUGAAAACGUUAAGUUUUCCGGUUCCGGGGGUAGUAUGGUUGCAAAGUUGAAACUUAAAGGAAUUGACGGAAGGGCACCACCAGGAGUGGAGCCUGUUGCUUAAUUUGACUCAACACGGGAAAACUUACCCGGCCCGGACACCUGAUGGAUUGACAGAUUGAUAGCUCUUUCUUGAUUAAGUGGAUGGUGGUGCAUGGCCGUUUUUAGUUGGUGGAGUGAUUUGUCAGGUUUAUUCCGAUAACGAACGAGACUCUAACUUACUAAAUAGCGGGCAGGUAUAUAUUGGCAGGUUUAACUUCUUAGAAGGAUAAGCGGGUUUCAACUCGCAUGAGAAAGAGCUAAAACAGGUCUGUGAUGCCCUUAGAUGUCCGGGGCCGCUAACGCGCUACACUGGCAAGGUCAAUAAGUUAUUUCCGAUGCCGAAAGGCUGAGGGAACCUUAUGAAUCCUUGUCGUGACCGGGAUCGCAGUUUGUAAUUAUCCUGCGUGAACGAGGAAUUCCCAGUAAGUGCAAGUCAUUAGCUUGUGCUGAUUACGUCCCUGCCCUUUGUACACACCGCCCGUCGCUACUACCGAUUGGAUGGUUUAGUGAGGUUAUUGGAUCGGCGUUGAGGAGAUGGUAACAUCUUUGCUUCUGCUGAGAAGAUAAUCAAACUUGGCCAUUUAGAGGAAGUAAAAGUCGUAACAAG